GAUGAACGCUGGCGGCGUGCCUAAUACAUGCAAGUCGAGCGAACAGACGGGGAGCUUGCUCCUCUGACGUUAGCGGCGGACGGGUGAGUAACACGUGGAUAACCUACCUAUAAGACUGGGAUAACUUCGGGAAACCGGAGCUAAUACCGGAUAAUAUAUUGAACCGCAUGGUUCAAUAGUGAAAGACGGUUUUGCUGUCACUUAUAGAUGGAUCCGCGCCGCAUUAGCUAGUUGGUAAGGUAACGGCUUACCAAGGCGACGAUGCGUAGCCGACCUGAGAGGGGGAUCGGCCACACUGGAACUGGGACCGGGUCCAGACCCCUAGGGGAGGCCGCAGUAGGGAAUCUUCCGCAAGGGGGGAAAGCCGGACGGAGCAACGCCGCGGGAGUGAGGAAGGUCUUGGGAUCGUAAAACUCUGUUAUUAGGGAAAAAAAAUGUGUAAGUAACUAUGCACGUCUUGACGGUACCUAAUCAGAAAGCCACGGCUAACUACGG
rnacentral:rRNA from 1 species